rnacentral:lncRNA from 1 species
CUGAGCCAGUUCACAAUGCCAAGGACUGAUAACAAGAAGACUCUUUCCUACAUCUCAGUGGCUGUGACUGUAACGCCUCCAGGAACAGUUUCCAGGCUGUACCUCCACAUGGAUUAUGUUUGCCCCAAGAUGAUGGCUGAGGACACCAGGGCCAGAAGCACCGCCUUUCCCAAGGCUCUUAGAUUCAGGAUCCUGAGCUGUCUCUGUCAGGGACUGACGUUCAAUUUACAGAAGAGGAACUGAGGCAAACAGGGUGGAGUGACUUGUCCAGAGUCACACAGCUGUUCCUUAUGUGAGGACCCACGUGGAUGAAAUCAUGGCUCUACCAAAGAACCAAUUCAACUGAAUUCAACUCAGCCAGCAUUUAUUAAAUGUCCCCACCAUUGGAGAUACAAAAAAAGACAAAAAUCAAUACUUGCCCUCAAGGUGUGCUUACAUUCUAACAGGAAAGACAGCAUGUAACGUGCAUGCAAGAUAUAUAGAUAGAAGUAGAUAGAAGGUCAUCUUAAAAGGGAGGGCACUAGAAAUGCAGAGUGCUGGGAAAGACCUUUUACAGAGCUAAGCAAAUCGAAAAGGUGGCGAUAAGAAGGAGGUAACGUUUGACUGCAUUCUACUCACAUUGCCCAUUUCGUAUGAGAUCUUACCAUUUGAUUCAGACACUGGUAGUUCCCUGGAUGCUAUAUAGUAAGGUAGAUAUAAGUAGAGGGGAAAGUUUGAAGGAAAUAAAUUAAAAAGGAGAGUAGAGUUCA